GACGAACGCUGGCGGCGUGCUUAACACAUGCAAGUCGAACGGAAAGGCCCUGCUUUUGUGGGGUGCUCGAGUGGCGAACGGGUGAGUAACACAUGAGUAACCUGCCCUUGACUUUGGGAUAACUUCAGGAAACUGGGGCUAAUACCGGAUAGGAGCUCCUGCUGCAUGGUGGGGGUUGGAAAGUUUCGGCGGUUGGGGAUGGACUCGCGGCUUAUCAGCUUGUUGGUGGGGUAGUGGCUACCAAGGCUUUGACGGGUAGCCGGCCUGAGAGGGUGACCGGCCACAUUGGGACUGAGAUACGGCCCAGACUCCUACGGGAGGCAGCAGUGGGGAAUAUUGCACAAUGGGCGGAAGCCUGAUGCAGCAACGCCGCGUGCGGGAUGACGGCCUUCGGGUUGUAAACCGCUUUCGCCUGUGACGAAGCGUGAGUGACGGUAAUGGGUAAAGAAGCACCGGCUAACUACGUG
rnacentral:rRNA from 1 species